rnacentral:rRNA from 1 species
GCAGUGCACGAAAGUGUGACGGGGCUACCCCGAGUGCCUUCCGCUGAGGAGGGCUUUUAUUUGGUAUAACUAGCCAAAGGAAUAAGGAGAGGGCAAGACUGGUGUCAGCCGCCGCGGUAAUACCAGCUCUCCGAGUGGUAGGGAUGAUUAUUGGGCUUAAAGCGUCCGUAGCCGGCUUAGCAAGUCUCCUGUUAAAUUCAGCGACCUAAUCGUUGAGCCGCGGGAGAUACUACUAGGCUAGGAGGCGGGAGAGGUCGACGGUACUUCUGGGGUAGGGGUGAAAUCCUAUAAUCCCGGGAGGACCACCAGUGGCGAAGGCUGUCGACUAGAACGCGCUCGACGGUGAGGGACGAAAGCUGGGGGAGCGAACCGGAUUAGAUACCCGGGUAGUCCCAGCUGUAAACGAUGCGGGCUAGGUGUUGGGAUGGCUACGUGCCAUUUCAGUGCCGCAGGGAAGCCAUUAAGCCCGCCGCCUGGGGAGUACGGCCGCAAGGCUGAAGCUUAA